GCGCCUGUGGCUCAGAGAAGUAGGGCGCUGGCCCCAUAUGCCAGAGGUAGCAGGUUCAAACCCAGCCCCGGGCA
rnacentral:tRNA from 1 species